GACGAACGCUGGCGGCGUGCUUAACACAUGCAAGUCGAACGAAGAGCGAUGGAAGCUUGCUUCUAUCAAUCUUAUGGCGAACGGGUGAGUAACGCGUAAUCAACCUGCCCUUCAGAGGGGGACAACAGUUGGAAACGACUGCUAAUACCGCAUACGAUCUAACCUUGGCAUCGAGGAUGGAUGAAAGGUGGCCUCUAUUUAUAAGCUAUCACUGAAGGAGGGGAUUGCGUCUGAUUAGCUAGUUGGAGGGGUAACGGCCCACCAAGGCGAUGAUCAGUAGCCGGUCUGAGAGGAUGAACGGCCACAUUGGGACUGAGACACGGCCCAGACUCCUACGGGAGGCAGCAGUGGGGAAUCUUCCGCAAUGGACGAAAGUCUGACGGAGCAACGCCGCGUGAGUGAUGACGGCCUUUCGGGUUGUAAAGCUCUGUUAAUCGGGACGAAAGGCCUUCUUGCGAAUAGUGAGAAGGAAUGACGGACCCGAAUAAAAAGCC
rnacentral:rRNA from 1 species